rnacentral:lncRNA from 1 species
AUAUGUAUUCAAUUCCUACCACCGUAGUGGAAGAGAGGCUAUCCCUAUCUUUACAACUGAUAGCAUUUCCAACAGUAAGCUGUGAGAUUCUGCUUGAAAUCACCUCUCAAACAAAUAAAAAACAGACCUGGGAGACACGCUACACUCAUUCUGCUGAAGAAAUAGGCAUCAUACUUGGGGAAACAGGGAUUCACAAGACCCAGGCUGUUCCCUACAUAUGUUUCCUCCUCCGACAUCAGUUCAUCAGUCAAUCAAGUCAUGUGAGAGUGGAGGCCUUGUAUUCCCUAUUAUUCUUGGGCACUCUCCUCCAAGGAGGGAAAGGCCAGGAGGUCCUUUUAGAGGAUGCACUCUGAGAGCCCGGGCUCCCUAAGGUAUGAGAGUUCUAACCAGCAGGUGUAGACUUUUCAGGAGUGAGGAAUGAGGCAGGCAUUCCAAACCGGUACCUUCAUUACCUUUUGUUUCAUCUCAAGACAAUUCUGAGGGGCUGUUUUGGAGCGUGUCUGGAAGGUGAACGUUGAAGAAGAGUGUGGGCUUUGAUAUGACUCAGUUGAGAUCUUUCAUGGGGAGGCAGGAAUUCAAUGCCCAGAAUCUGGGCUGGUGUCUUUGAGGUCAGUAGGUUGCAUCUUUUUAUCCAAGUCCGUUGUUACUAGGUUGGAGGCUGGAGAUUCUAAAUGGCUUCCAGACUGCCUCUCUGAUUCUCUUUGGGAGAUGUGGUCUGAAAGA